rnacentral:rRNA from 1 species
UACAGAGGGUGCGAGCGUUGUUCGGAAUUACUGGGCGUAAAGCGCGCGCAGGCGGCCUUUUAAGUCUGCUGGUGAAAUGCCGGGGCUCAACCCCGUGCCCGCCACAGAUACUGGGAGGCUGGAGACAUGUAGAGGCAAGCGGAAUUCCGGGUGUAGCGGUGGAAUGCGUAGAGAUCCGGAAGAACACCGGAGGCGAAGGCGGCUUGCUGGGCAUGGUCUGACGCUGGAGGCGCGAAAGCGUGGGGAGCGAACAGG